UACGAAGGGGGCUAGCGUUGCUCGGAAUCACUGGGCGUAAAGCGCACGUAGGCGGCUUGUUAAGUCAGGGGUGAAAUCCUGGAGCUCAACUCCAGAACUGCCUUUGAUACUGGCGAGCUUGAGUCCGGGAGAGGUGAGUGGAACUGCGAGUGUAGAGGUGAAAUUCGUAGAUAUUCGCAAGAACACCAGUGGCGAAGGCGGCUCACUGGCCCGGUACUGACGCUGAGACGCGAAAGCGUGGGGAGCGAACAGGA
rnacentral:rRNA from 1 species